CCCCAUCGCACACAAGACACAGACGCAACCUCUGAGGCUUCGACCUCCUUCCAGUGUCAACACCACCUCCGGCACCUCCCUUCGCCAUCGCCUCUGUUCUCUAUUCUUCCUUUAGUGUCGGCCACUGCUUUUGCUGGUACAGCUAGCGUCGUCAGCAACGAACGCCUCCAACGAGCCCACUGCAUCGUCGACUCUCUCGGCGAGUACGUCACAUUCACCGACGCCGGGGUCAGAUUCAAAAUCGGAGAGAAUCGUUCCGCCAGUGCUUGCUCAAGUUCCAGUUUCUAAUUUGACUUCUUCGUCUUCCAUGAGUUCAUCUUCGCCUGCACGCAAAAACGGCAGGAUCAGGAGUUCGUUGAUACGUAACCUGGGAGCCCUCAGAGCAUCUAUCCCGCAUUUUAAUCUUUAGUGUAUGAUGAUGUCACGUUUAUUUAUUAAUGCCGCUUGCACUUUUAUGUGUGGUGUUUGCAUCUUAUGCAAUAACAUUAAGGAAUGAAGUCACGAAACUUAAGAUAAUGUUGAAGCCAGAAGAGAAAGUGUGCAAGCCAGGGUUUUAUGUGCUACAUAUAUGGAAGUAUUCAAAUGGAAAAUGUGGUCAUUAGAUGAUUAAUCUUGAAUUUGUUUAAUUGAUCAAGUUUCAGUUGUUAUUAUGGUAUUUAGAUUAGAUUUGCAAGUAAUAGAUUCUGGUCAUUAGAUGGUUACUCUUGAAUUGGUUUAACCGAUUAACUUUUAGUUGUGAUUAUGGUUUUUAGAUUAGCAAUAUUUUUCCAUUUUCAUUUUCAAGAACAUAUAUGAUUGUGUUUGUAUACAUUAUUUCGUUAUUUUUAAUAUAAAAUUGCAAGUGUUUUCUUUUGUA